GAUGAACGCUGGCGGCGUGCCUAAUACAUGCAAGUCGAGCGAACAGACGAGGAGCUUGCUCCUCUGACGUUAGCGGCGGACGGGUGAGUAACACGUGGAUAACCUACCUAUAAGACUGGGAUAACUUCGGGAAACCGGAGCUAAUACCGGAUAAUAUAUUGAACCGCAUGGUUCAAUAGUGAAAGACGGUUUUGCUGUCACUUAUAGAUGGAUCCGCGCCGCAUUAGCUAGUUGGUAAGGUAACGGCUUACCAAGGCAACGAUGCGUAGCCGACCUGAGAGGGUGAUCGGCCACACUGGAACUGAGACACGGUCCAGACUCCUACGGGAGGCAGCAGUAGGGAAUCUUCCGCAAUGGGCGAAAGCUUGACGGAGCAACGCCGCGUGAGUGAUGAAGGUCUUGGAUCGUAAAACUCUGUUAUUAGGGAAGAACAAAUGUGUAAGUAACUAUGCACGUCUUGACGGUACCUAAUCAGAAAGCCACGGCUAACUACGUG
rnacentral:rRNA from 1 species